UGAGGAGAUGCUUACUGCUCAGCUCAGCAUAAGUAGAGUUCUAGGUAGCUUAGCUUUAGCAUAACUAAGGUAUUAUAAUAAUCAUCUCAACAUUUCAACACUAUCCCCCUACUCUUAAGUCUGAAACAAUGUUUCAGGUGAAAGGAAUGCUUGUUGAAAUGCCUUUGGGUAUAUGUUGUCUGUCUUCUUACUCCUCUUUUGAAGAGAUAGUGUGUGCCGACGGUGAUCUUGUGUUGGGAUCAUCUAGGGUUCUUUAGCGACGUUCUGAGGGUCAAUUAGUUAUCCCUCUGGAGAUUUUCUAAGGGUCUCCCUCUGCUUCUCGAAUGACUCGAGCUCUCAGGGGUCUUAUAAGUCAGCCCCACCUCGGAGUUGUUGAAGUCUUC
rnacentral:lncRNA from 1 species